GAAAGAUUUCUACCUCUCCAAACACAUCUGCACCCACACUUUACAAACCUCUCCUCACAGACUUCUCUUCAACACCCCCAAUCCUUCCUUAGAGGGCCCCCAACCUCCAAGAGACAGUACUAGGGGAGAGCGCCUGUUUCCUUAAAGACAGAAAGCAUGGCAAAGUAAAGUCACUAGUGAAAUUUAAAUACAGAAUCUCUCCCUCUAUUGCCUUCUGGUUCUGUUCUCUUGAGAACAACCAUCCGUGCAGCCCAGCGUAAUAAUGAGCAGGUCCUGGCAGCUGUGAUAAUGGCCCUUGUGUUCUCUAGAAGGGGAAAAUGAGGUACAGAAAAAGAAUUAAUACACCUGCAUCUGCAAAAGGAACCUAAAAGGCUGGGUGAUUCGUUCAAGUUCAGAAGAGUGCGUGCCAGAGAGGCAAUGCACCUACCUGCUGUCUCUUUCGACGGCGUGUAGAAAAGAAAAAACAUCUGACUCAAAUAGCUUAAACUUUAAAAGGGGCUUAUUAGCUCACCUAAUUUUAAAAGAUGAAAGUUCACAUGGAGAAGGAAUGUAGGAGCUUCUUUGCUCCAGCAUUCACAAGGAAAGUCAUGAAGUUCACUGGGACAUGACUAGCUGAAGCCACCCAGAGGUCAUCAUUAUUGGAGACUGGAUAUGCUAUCUGACUGAGCUCCCCACUGAGCCAACAGCAAAAGAUACAAAGAGGUUUUUCAAGUUCAGAGCCGCAGGGUUUUAAAGUGAAUAAUAGCCAUACUACCCAACCUUCUUGGACCUCUGGAUGAUGACAGAAUGUCAUGUCCCACCCAGACAAUGAAGCAGAUGUGUCCCUGGGCUCUCUGAAUCCACAUACAGACCUAUGCUGA
rnacentral:lncRNA from 1 species